CUAAGUCGAACACCCAAAAAGGCAACUUAGGCAAAAAUAGGGGCAAUCUCGGUGGACUAAAGCUUAAAAAAGGCGGUCCAGGCAAAAGUUAGGGAUCAAAACAAAAAUCGAAAGAGGUGUAACACCCCAAAAUUUGCCCCCCUCAUUCAUGCAUUCAUUUAGCAUUUCAUAUUGCAUUUCAUCAUGUCAAUCAGAAUUAGAUCCAAGAAACUUUAUUUAAAAAAAUAAAAUAAAAAUAAAAACGAAAAAUAAAACGAAAAACGAAAAAUAAAACGAAAAACGAAA
rnacentral:lncRNA from 1 species